rnacentral:tRNA from 1 species
CUAGUUUAUUAUAAGUUUUAAUAAGCUGUCUUGAUUUGGCAGAAAUAGUCACUAGU